ACACUGACGUCGCGACGCAUAUCAAUAAGCGGAGGAAAAGAAACUAACUAGGAUUCCCUCAGUAACGGCGAGUGAAGCGGGAAGAGCUCAAAUUUGAAAUCUUCAAGGUUCUACCUUGACGAAUUGUAGUUUAAAGAAGUGUUUUCUGUAGUGGAGUUUGGUAAAAGUUCUUUGGAAUAGGACAUCAUAGAGGGUGAGAAUCCCGUAUUUGGUCAUUCCUUCUAGCUUUGUGAUACACUUUCAAAGAGUCGGAUUGUUUGGGAAUGCAGUCCAAAAUGGGUGGUAAAUUUCAUCUAAAGCUAAAUAUUGGCGAGAGACCGAUAGCGAACAAGUACCGUGAGGGAAAGAUGAAAAGAACUUUGAAAAGAGAGUUAAACAGUACGUGAAAUUGUCAAAAGGGAAGCGUUUGACACCAGUGUUGUUUUUCCGAAAAUCAAUUAUAAAUGUUUUGUUUCUGAGGAGUGAUGACUUCAUCGGCUUCCUUCUCUCUUCACGAAACUUUUGUAAUGCACUUUUCGGUUAACAAGUCAACAUCAAUUUCUUUUGUUGUAAAAGAGUAUUCGGAAGGUGGCUUUCUUUUCGGAGAAAGUGUUUAUAGCCCUAUACUUCUACAAUCGGAGAGAUUGAGGUCUGCAGCGUAGAUCCUUCGGGGUUAGAUACACUUGUGCUAAGUUAUAGCUUUUCAUAGACAACUUGUUGACUAUGUUUAGUCAUGUCGCUUACUCGCUUGUGCUAUUUUACCUACGCUUAGGAUGUUGAGUCGUAGAGCACGCAG
rnacentral:rRNA from 1 species